rnacentral:rRNA from 1 species
AGAAAUUCGAUUCCGUAAGUAGCGGCGAGCGAACGCGGAUUAGCCCAAACCAAUAAAGUUUUCUUUAUUGGGGUUGCGGACAUAUCAUAACGAAGAGGUAUCGUAAUUGAAGAGGUUUGGAAAGACCCACCACAGAAGGUAAUAGUCCUGUAUGUUAAACGAGAAGACUUCAGAUAUGAUCCAGAGUACCACGGGACACGUGAAACCCUGUGGGAAGCAGGAGGGACCACCCUCCAAGGCUAAAUACUACCUAGUGACCGAUAGCGUAUAGUACCGUGAGGGAAAGGUGAAAAGAACCCCGGGAGGGGAGUGAAAUAGAACCUGAAACCCUGCACUUACAAGCUGUGGAAGCACAUUUCUUGUGUGACCGCGUACUUUUUGUAGAACGGGCCAACGAGUUACGUUAAGUAGCAAGGUUAAGCACUUAAGGUGCGGAGCCGUAGCGAAAGCGAGUUUUAACUGAGCGUUCAGUUACUUGACGUAGACCCGAAACCGGGCGAUCUACCCAUGAGCAGGAUGAAGCGAAAGUAAAAUUUCGUGGAGGUCCGAACCCACGAGCGUUGAAAAGCUCGGGGAUGACUUGUGGGUAGCGGUGAAAUUCCAAUCGAGCCCGGAGAUAGCUGGUUCUCCCCGAAAUAGCUUUAGGGCUAGCCUCAAGGUGAGAGAUACGGAGGUAGAGCACUGAAUGUCCUAGGGGGUAUUGCACCUACCGAAGACUAUCAAACUCCGAAUGCCGUCAUCUUAUACUUGGGAGUCAGACUGUGGGUGAUAAGAUUCAUAGUCGAAAGGGCAACAGCCCAGAUCGUCAGCUAAGGUCCCUAAAUGUAAGUUAAGUGGUAAAGGAUGUGGGCUUGCACAGACAACCAGGGUGCUUGCUUAGAAGCAGCAAUUCAGUUCAAGAGGGCGUAAUAGUGAACUGGUCGCGUGCUCCUGCGCCGAAGAUUUCCGGGGCUAAAACUUACUACCGAAGCUACGGCGUCAGUAAUGAUGGGUAGGGGAGCUUCCCAUA